CCUUGUUGGUGGGCACGGAGCGGAGCCGCUUGAAGAUGGCGGCGAUGUCCUGCUUGCUGGGCUCGCACAUGGCGCCGGGGGAGCCGGUCAUCACACACCGUAAAAACCUGAGGGGUGUAUGACCCAGGGUACCUGUGAGGCUGUUGGCUGAAGACAUUUUCAAGCAGAAGAGUAAAAGAAAUGGACCUCUCUGGACAUAGCAGUCAUGUAGCCUUCCUCUGAGAUAGAGUCAUAUUCAACUAUUAAAAAAAAUAUAAGAUUAUUAAAAGUAAUAUUGGCAUA